rnacentral:rRNA from 1 species
AAAGAAACCAACAGGGAUUGCCCUAGUAACGGCGAGUGAAGCGGCAACAGCUCAAAUUUGAAAUCUGGCGUCUUUGGCUUUCCGAGUUGUAAUUUGCAGAGGGCGCUUUGGUAUUGGCAGCGAUCCAAGUUCCUUGGAACAGGACGUCACAGAGGGUGAGAAUCCCGUACGUGGUCGCUAGCCUUUUACCGUGUAAAGCCCCUUCGACGAGUCGAGUUGUUUGGGAAUGCAGCUCUAAAUGGGAGGUAAAUUUCUUCUAAAGCUAAAUACUGGCCAGAGACCGAUAGCGCACAAGUAGAGUGAUCGAAAGAUGAAAAGCACUUUGGAAAGAGAGUUAAAAAGCACGUGAAAUUGUUGAAAGGGAAGCGCUUGCAGCCAGACUUGCUUGUAGUUGCUCAUCCGGGUUUUUACCCGGUGCACUCUUCUAUAAGCAGGCCAGCAUCAGUUUGGGCGGUUGGAUAAAGGUCUCUGUCAUGUACCUCUCUUCGGGGAGAACUUAUAGGGGAGACGACAUGCAACCAGCCUGGACUGAGGUCCGCGCAUCUGCUAGGAUGCUGGCGUAAUGGCUGUAAGCGGCCCGUCUUGAAACACGGACCAAGGAGUCUAACAUCUAUGCGAGUGUUUGGGUGUCAAGCCCGAGCGCGUAAUGAAAGUGAACGGAGGUGGGAACCUUUCGGGGUGCACCAUCGACCGAUCCUGAUGUCUUCGGAUGGAUUUGAGUAAGAGCAUAGCUGUUGGGACCCGAAAGAUGGUGAACUAUGCUUGAAUAGGGUGAAGCCAGAGGAAACUCUGGUGGAGGCUCGCAGCGGUUCUGACGUGCAAAUCGAUCGUCAAAUUUGGGCAUAGGGGCGAAAGACUAAU